GGGCGUUAAGUUGCAGGGUAUAGACCCGAAACCCGGUGAUCUAGCCAUGGGCAGGUUGAAGGUUGGGUAACACUAACUGGAGGACCGAACCGACUAAUGUUGAAAAAUUAGCGGAUGACUUGUGGCUGGGGGUGAAAGGCCAAUCAAACCGGGAGAUAGCUGGUUCUCCCCGAAAGCUAUUUAGGUAGCGCCUCGUGAACUCAUCUCCGGGGGUAGAGCACUGUUUCGGCUAGGGGGCCAUCCCGGCUUACCAACCCGAUGCAAACUGCGAAUACCGGAGAAUGUUAUCACGGGAGACACACGGCGGGUGCUAACGUCCGUCGUGAAGAGGGAAACAACCCAGACCGCCAGCUAAGGUCCCAAAGUCAUGGUUAAGUGGGAAACGAUGUGGGAAGGCAUAGACAGCUAGGAGGUUGGCUUAGAAGCAGCCACCCUUUAAAGAAAGCGUAAUAGCUCACUAGUCGAGUCGGCCUGCGCGGAAGAUGUAACGGGGCUAAAACUAUGUGCCGAAGCUGCGGAUUUGACAUUAGUCAAGUGGUAGGGGAGCGUUCUGUAAGCCGAUGAAGGUGUAUUGAGAAGUAUGCUGGAGGUAUCAGAAGUGCGAAUGCUGACGUGAGUAACGACAAAACGGGUGAAAAACCCGUUCGCCGAAAGACCAAGGGUUCCAGUCCAACGUUAAUCGGGGCUGGGUGAGUCGACCCCUAAGGCGAGGCCGAAAGGCGUAGUCGAUGGGAAAUUGGUUAAUAUUCCAAUACUUCUGUGUAAUGCGAUGAGAGGACGGAGAAGGUUAAGUCAGCCUGGCGUUGGUUGUCCAGGUGGAAGGAUGUAGGUAUGUAUCUUAGGCAAAUCCGGGGUACUCUAUACUGAGAUCCGAUAGCAAGCUGUACUUGUACAGUGAAGUGGCUGAUACCAUGCUUCCAGGAAAAGUCUCUAAGCUUCAGUUACACAGGAAUCGUACCCGAAACCGACACAGGUGGUCAGGUCGAGUAGACCAAGGCGCUUGAGAGAACUCUGCUGAAGGAACUAGGCAAAAUGGUACCGUAACUUCGGGAGAAGGUACGCUGUUGUUGGUGAUGGAACUUGCUUCCUGAGCUGAUGACAGCCGCAGAAACCAGGCCGCUGCAACUGUUUAUUAAAAACAUAGCACUCUGCAAACACGAAAGUGGACGUAUAGGGUGUGAUGCCUGCCCGGUGCUGGAAGGUUAAUUGAUGGGGUUAGCGUAAGCGAAGCUCUUGAUCGAAGCCCCAGUAAACGGCGGCCGUAACUAUAACGGUCCUAAGGUAGCGAAAUUCCUUGUCGGGUAAGUUCCGACCUGCACGAAUGGCGUAAUGAUGGCCAGGCUGUCUCCACCCGAGACUCAGUGAAAUUGAAAUCGCUGUGAAGAUGCAGUGUACCCGCGGCAAGACGGAAAGACCCCGUGAACCUUUACUAUAGCUUGACACUGAACAUUGAGCCUUGAUGUGUAGGAUAGGUGGGAGGCUUUGAAGCG
rnacentral:rRNA from 1 species